UGGAUCCAGACUUUGAUUCUGGCUCAGGACGAACGCUGGCGGCGUGCCUAACACAUGCAAGUCGAACGGAACUAUUUUAAAAGAUUUCUUCGGAAUGAUUUUGGCUUAGUUUAGUGGCGGACGGGUGAGUAACGCGUGAGUAACCUGCCUUCAAGAGGGGGAUAACGUUCUGAAAAGGACGCUAAUACCGCAUAACAUAUCGGAAUCGCAUGGUUCUGAUAUCAAAGAUUUUAUCGCUUGAAGAUGGACUCGCGUCCGAUUAGUUAGUUGGUGAGGUAACGGCUCACCAAGACCGCGAUCGGUAGCCGGACUGAGAGGUUGAACGGCCACAUUGGGACUGAGACACGGCCCAGACUCCUACGGGAGGCAGCAGUGGGGGAUAUUGCGCAAUGGGGGCAACCCUGACGCAGCAACGCCGCGUGAAGGACGAAGGUUUUCGGAUUGUAAACUUCUUUUCUUAAGGACGAAAAUUGACGGUACUUAAGGAAUAAGCUCCGGCUAACUACGUGCCAGCAGCCGCGGUAAUACGUAGGGAGCAAGCGUUGUCCGGAUUUACUGGGUGUAAAGGGUGCGUAGGCGGCAAUGCAAGUCAGAUGUGAAAUCUAUGGGCUCAACCCAUAAACUGCAUUUGAAACUGCGUUGCUUGAGUGAAGUAGAGGCAGGCGGAAUUCCCCGUGUAGCGGUGAAAUGCGUAGAGAUGGGGAGGAACACCAGUGGCGAAGGCGGCCUGCUGGGCUUUAACUGACGCUGAGGCACGAAAGCGUGGGUAGCAAACAGGAUUAGAUACCCUGGUAGUCCACGCUGUAAACGAUGAUUACUAGGUGUGGGGGGUCUGACCCCUUCCGUGCCGGAGUUAACACAAUAAGUAAUCCACCUGGGGAGUACGGCCGCAAGGUUGCAACUCAAAGGAAUUGACGGA
rnacentral:rRNA from 1 species